AACGCUAGCUACAGGCUUAACACAUGCAAGUCGAGGGGCAGCAUGAACUUAGCUUGCUAAGUUUGAUGGCGACCGGCGCACGGGUGAGUAACGCGUAUCCAACCUUCCGUACACUCAGGGAUAGCCUUUCGAAAGAAAGAUUAAUACCUGAUGGUAUGAUGAGAUUGCAUGAAAUCAUCAUUAAAGAUUCAUCGGUGUACGAUGGGGAUGCGUUCCAUUAGAUAGUAGGCGGGGUAACGGCCCACCUAGUCAACGAUGGAUAGGGGUUCUGAGAGGAAGGUCCCCCACAUUGGAACUGAGACACGGUCCAAACUCCUACGGGAGGCAGCAGUGAGGAAUAUUGGUCAAUGGGCGCGAGCCUGAACCAGCCAAGUAGCGUGAAGGAUGAAGGUCCUACGGAUUGUAAACUUCUUUUAUAAGGGAAUAAAGUCACCCACGUGUGGGUGUUUGUAUGUACCUUAUGAAUAAGCAUCGGCUAACUCCGUGCCAGCAGCCGCGGUAAUACGGAGGAUGCGAGCGUUAUCCGGAUUUAUUGGGUUUAAAGGGAGCGUAGACGGGUCGUUAAGUCAGCUGUGAAAGUUUGGGGCUCAACCUUAAAAUUGCAGUUGAUACUGGCGUCCUUGAGUACGGUUGAGGCAGGCGGAAUUCGUGGUGUAGCGGUGAAAUGCUUAGAUAUCACGAAGAACUCCGAUUG
rnacentral:rRNA from 1 species